rnacentral:rRNA from 1 species
AGACGCCUGCGGCGUGCUUAACACAUGCAAGUCGAACGAUGAUCUCCAGCUUGCUGGGGGGAUUAGUGGCGAACGGGUGAGUAACACGUGAGUAACCUGCCCUUGACUCUGGGAUAAGCCUGGGAAACUGGGUCUAAUACCGGAUACGACCGUCCCGCGCAUGCGGUGGUGGUGGAAAGCUUUUGCGGUUUUGGAUGGACUCGCGGCCUAUCAGCUUGUUGGUGGGGUAAUGGCCUACCAAGGCGACGACGGGUAGCCGGCCUGAGAGGGUGACCGGCCACACUGGGACUGAGACACGGCCCAGACUCCUACGGGAGGCAGCAGUGGGGAAUAUUGCACAAUGGGCGAAAGCCUGAUGCAGCGACGCCGCGUGAGGGAUGACGGCCUUCGGGUUGUAAACCUCUUUCAGUAGGGAAGAAGCGAAAGUGACGGUACCUGCAGAAGAAGCGCCGGCUAACUACGUGCCAGCAGCCGCGGUAAUACGUAGGGCGCAAGCGUUAUCCGGAAUUAUUGGGCGUAAAGAGCUCGUAGGCGGUUUGUCGCGUCUGCUGUGAAAGACCGGGGCUCAACUCCGGUUCUGCAGUGGGUACGGGCAGACUAGAGUGAUGUAGGGGAGACUGGAAUUCCUGGUGUAGCGGUGAAAUGCGCAGAUAUCAGGAGGAACACCGAUGGCGAAGGCAGGUCUCUGGGCAUUAACUGACGCUGAGGAGCGAAAGCAUGGGGAGCGAACAGGAUUAGAUACCCUGGUAGUCCAUGCCGUAAACGUUGGGCACUAGGUGUGGGGGACAUUCCACGUUUUCCGCGCCGUAGCUAACGCAUUAAGUGCCCCGCCUGGA